rnacentral:lncRNA from 1 species
AUUCAGUACCAUGUGAAUUCAAUCCUUAGAAUAAUCACAGCUGGUGCAUAGGGAAUAAAUGACCAAAUGACUGAGGGUUUGCAGUGCCAUGCCCUAUCUUGACAUGGGGAUUUCAGCUAUUCAUGGGAUUGUGUUGGGACUCUUCAUCAAUAAUUGAACUAAAGGAGGAAAACAAGCUGCAGUGAAAAUGGAAGACUGAAAAUGUUAUUGACAACCUGUUUAACUACUGGUUAUGCAGCAUCCCAAAGAGCAAUGACAUGGAACACUCACUACCGGGCUCCUCACAUAUUGAAAGGAACAAGAGGAAAUAAAAGCGAG